rnacentral:rRNA from 1 species
GGGUUGUGAGGUUAAGCGACUAAGCGUACACGGUGGAUGCCCUGGCAGUCAGAGGCGAUGAAGGACGUGCUAAUCUGCGAUAAGCGUCGGUAAGGUGAUAUGAACCGUUAUAACCGGCGAUUUCCGAAUGGGGAAACCCAGUGUGAUUCGUCACACUAUCAUUAACUGAAUCCAUAGGUUAAUGAGGCGAACCGGGGGAACUGAAACAUCUAAGUACCCCGAGGAAAAGAAAUCAACCGAGAUUCCCCCAGUAGCGGCGAGCGAACGGGGAGCAGCCCAGAGCCUGAAUCAGUGUGUGUGUUAGUGGAAGCGUCUGGAAAGGCGUGCGAUACAGGGUGACAGCCCCGUACACAAAAAUGCACAUACUGUGAGCUCGAUGAGUAGGGCGGGACACGUGGUAUCCUGUCUGAAUAUGGGGGGACCAUCCUCCAAGGCUAAAUACUCCUGACUGACCGAUAGUGAACCAGUACCGUGAGGGAAAGGCGAAAAGAACCCCGGCGAGGGGAGUGAAAAAGAACCUGAAACCGUGUACGUACAAGCAGUGGGAGCACGCUUAGGCGUGUGACUGCGUACCUUUUGUAUAAUGGGUCAGCGACUUAUAUUCUGUAGCAAGGUUAACCGAAUAGGGGAGCCGAAGGGAAACCGAGUCUUAACUGGGCGUUAAGUUGCAGGGUAUAGACCCGAAACCCGGUGAUCUAGCCAUGGGCAGGUUGAAGGUUGGGUAACACUAACUGGAGGACCGAACCGACUAAUGUUGAAAAAUUAGCGGAUGACUUGUGGCUGGGGGUGAAAGGCCAAUCAAACCGGGAGAUAGCUGGUUCUCCCCGAAAGCUAUUUAGGUAGCGCCUCGUGAAUUCAUCUCCGGGGGUAGAGCACUGUUUCGGCAAGGGGGUCAUCCCGACUUACCAACCCGAUGCAAACUGCGAAUACCGGAGAAUGUUAUCACGGGAGACACACGGCGGGUGCUAACGUCCGUCGUGAAGAGGGAAACAACCCAGACCGCCAGCUAAGGUCCCAAAGUCAUGGUUAAGUGGGAAACGAUGUGGGAAGGCCCAGACAGCCAGGAUGUUGGCUUAGAAGCAGCCAUCAUUUAAAGAAAGCGUAAUAGCUCACUGGUCGAGUCGGCCUGCGCGGAAGAUGUAACGGGGCUAAACCAUGCACCGAAGCUGCGGCAGCGACGCUUAUGCGUUGUUGGGUAGGGGAGCGUUCUGUAAGCCUGCGAAGGUGUGCUGUGAGGCAUGCUGGAGGUAUCAGAAGUGCGAAUGCUGACAUAAGUAACGAUAAAGCGGGUGAAAAGCCCGCUCGCCGGAAGACCAAGGGUUCCUGUCCAACGUUAAUCGGGGCAGGGUGAGUCGACCCCUAAGGCGAGGCCGAAAGGCGUAGUCGAUGGGAAACAGGUUAAUAUUCCUGUACUUGGUGUUACUGCGAAGGGGGGACGGAGAAGGCUAUGUUGGCCGGGCGACGGUUGUCCCGGUUUAAGCGUGUAGGCUGGUUUUCCAGGCAAAUCCGGAAAAUCAAGGCUGAGGCGUGAUGACGAGGCACUACGGUGCUGAAGCAACAAAUGCCCUGCUUCCAGGAAAAGCCUCUAAGCAUCAGGUAACAUCAAAUCGUACCCCAAACCGACACAGGUGGUCAGGUAGAGAAUACCAAGGCGCUUGAGAGAACUCGGGUGAAGGAACUAGGCAAAAUGGUGCCGUAACUUCGGGAGAAGGCACGCUGAUAUGUAGGUGAAGCGACUUGCUCGUGGAGCUGAAAUCAGUCGAAGAUACCAGCUGGCUGCAACUGUUUAUUAAAAACACAGCACUGUGCAAACACGAAAGUGGACGUAUACGGUGUGACGCCUGCCCGGUGCCGGAAGGUUAAUUGAUGGGGUCAGCGCAAGCGAAGCUCUUGAUCGAAGCCCCGGUAAACGGCGGCCGUAACUAUAACGGUCCUAAGGUAGCGAAAUUCCUUGUCGGGUAAGUUCCGACCUGCACGAAUGGCGUAAUGAUGGCCAGGCUGUCUCCACCCGAGACUCAGUGAAAUUGAACUCGCUGUGAAGAUGCAGUGUACCCGCGGCAAGACGGAAAGACCCCGUGAACCUUUACUAUAGCUUGACACUGAACAUUGAGCCUUGAUGUGUAGGAUAGGUGGGAGGCUUUGAAGUGUGGACGCCAGUCUGCAUGGAGCCGACCUUGAAAUACCACCCUUUAAUGUUUGAUGUUCUAACGUUGACCCGUAAUCCGGGUUGCGGACAGUGUCUGGUGGGUAGUUUGACUGGGGCGGUCUCCUCCUAAAGAGUAACGGAGGAGCACGAAGGUUGGCUAAUCCUGGUCGGACAUCAGGAGGUUAGUGCAAUGGCAUAAGCCAGCUUGACUGCGAGCGUGACGGCGCGAGCAGGUGCGAAAGCAGGUCAUAGUGAUCCGGUGGUUCUGAAUGGAAGGGCCAUCGCUCAACGGAUAAAAGGUACUCCGGGGAUAACAGGCUGAUACCGCCCAAGAGUUCAUAUCGACGGCGGUGUUUGGCACCUCGAUGUCGGCUCAUCACAUCCUGGGGCUGAAGUAGGUCCCAAGGGUAUGGCUGUUCGCCAUUUAAAGUGGUACGCGAGCUGGGUUUAGAACGUCGUGAGACAGUUCGGUCCCUAUCUGCCGUGGGCGCUGGAGAACUGAGGGGGGCUGCUCCUAGUACGAGAGGACCGGAGUGGACGCAUCACUGGUGUUCGGGUUGUCAUGCCAAUGGCACUGCCCGGUAGCUAAAUGCGGAAGAGAUAAGUGCUGAAAGCAUCUAAGCACGAAACUUGCCCCGAGAUGAGUUCUCCCUGACUCCUUGAGAGUCCUGAAGGAACGUUGAAGACGACGACGUUGAUAGGCCGGGUGUGUAAGCGCAGCGAUGCGUUGAGCUAACCGGUACUAAUGAACCGUGAGGCUUAACCUUACAACGCCGAAG